rnacentral:SRP_RNA from 2 species
GAGGCAGGUAGGGUCGGGGUGCUAGCCGUGCCCCACACUGGAAAUCGGCUUCAUGCCAGGACCAGUAACCGCUGGGUAAAUCCGCUGGGAGGAGGUACCCGCUUGCCUUGCGGAAAUGAAAUCACGCCGUGUCGGAUGGUUAUGAGCAGCGAUCUGCGCGAAGGCGCGGCGUCGACUGCGCAUCGUCGAAAUGGGUGAGGUCCGGGAGGGAGCAACCCUAAGGCGGCGUAGCCAUGCUAGCACGUCUACGUGGUGGAUCUCGCAGGGCUUGAAAUGGGGCCUUUUGCCAACGGUGGUACCGGUGGGCUGCCUC